rnacentral:rRNA from 1 species
CGCAUCUGUGCAUGCAGCAUAUCAAUAGCGGAGGAAAAGAAACUAACAAGGAUUCCCCUAGUAACGGCGAGUGAAGCGGGAAGAGCUCAAAUUUGAAAUCUUAAAGGGUUUCCCUUUACGAAUUGUAGUUUAAAGAAGUGUUUUCUGUUGAGGUUUUGGUAAAAGUUCUUUGGAAUAGGACAUCAUAGAGGGUGAGAAUCCCGUAUUUGACCUUUACUUUCAACUUUGUGAUACACUUUCAAAGAGUCGGAUUGUUUGGGAAUGCAGUCCAAAGUGGGUGGUAAAUUUCAUCUAAAGCUAAAUAUUGGCGAGAGACCGAUAGCGAACAAGUACCGUGAGGGAAAGAUGAAAAGAACUUUGAAAAGAGAGUUAAACAGUACGUGAAAUUGUCAAAAGGGAAGCGUUUGACACCAGUGUUGUUUUUCUGAAAAUCAAUUAAAGAACUGUUUAUGCUAAGUUGUUUAGACUUUAUCAGCUAUCUGUUUAGUUUUGAGCUUUUCUUUAAUGCACUUUUCAGUUAACAAGUCAACAUCAAUUUCUUUUGCUGUAAAAAAGCUUGAGGAAGGUGGCUUGAGAUUCGUCUUAAGUGUUUAUAGCCUCUUGCCUAUGCAGUCGGAGAGAUUGAGGUCUGCAGCGUAGAUCCUUCGGGGCUAAAUGCAUUUGUGCUAAGUUAUAGCAUUUUAGUAGACAACUUGUUGACUAUGAUUUGUCUUGUAGCUUACUCGCUUAUGUUAUUUUACCUACGCUUAGGAUGUUGAGUCGUAGAGCACGCAG